rnacentral:rRNA from 1 species
CACUCCUGCGGGAGGCAGCAGUGGGGAAUUUUGGACAAUGGGCGAAAGCCUGAUCCAGCAAUGCCGCGUGAGUGAAGAAGGCCUUCGGGUUGUAAAGCUCUUUUGUCAGGGAAGAAACGGUGAGAGCUAAUAUCUCUUGCUAAUGACGGUACCUGAAGAAUAAGCACCGGCUAACUACGUGCCAGCAGCCGCGGUAAUACGUAGGGUGCAAGCGUUAAUCGGAAUUACUGGGCGUAAAGCGUGCGCAGGCGGUUUUGUAAGUCUGAUGUGAAAUCCCCGGGCUCAACCUGGGAAUUGCAUUGGAGACUGCAAGGCUAGAAUCUGGCAGAGGGGGGUAGAAUUCCACGUGUAGCAGUGAAAUGCGUAGAUAUGUGGAGGAACACCGAUGGCGAAGGCAGCCCCCUGGGUCAAGAUUGACGCUCAUGCACGAAAGCGUGGGGAGCAAACAGGAUUAGAAACCCCGGUAGUCCC